AGUGAACGCUGGCGGUAGGCCUAACACAUGCAAGUCGAACGGCAGCACAGUAAGAGCUUGCUCUUACGGGUGGCGAGUGGCGGACGGGUGAGGAAUACAUCGGAAUCUACUUUUUCGUGGGGGAUAACGUAGGGAAACUUACGCUAAUACCGCAUACGACCUACGGGUGAAAGCAGGGGAUCUUCGGACCUUGGGCGAUUGAAUGAGCCGAUGUCGGAUUAGCUAGUUGGCGGGGUAAAGGCCCACCAAGGCGACGAUCCGUAGCUGGUCUGAGAGGAUGAUCAGCCACACUGGAACUGAGACACGGUCCAGACUCCUACGGGAGGCAGCAGUGGGGAAUAUUGGACAAUGGGCGCAAGCCUGAUCCAGCCAUACCGCGUGGGUGAAGAAGGUCUUCGGGUUGUAAAGCCCUUUUGUUGGGAAAGAAAAGCAGCAGGUUAAUACCCCGCUGUUCUGACGGUACCCAAAGAAUAAGCACCGGCUAACUUCGUG
rnacentral:rRNA from 1 species